GACGAACGCUGGCGGCGUGCCUAAUACAUGCAAGUAGAACGCAGUUGCGAACGGGUGAGUAACGCGUAGGUAACUGCCUCAUAGCGGGGGAUAACUAUUGGAAACGAUAGCUAAUACCGCAUACUGUGCGAUGGACCUGCGUUGUAUUAGCUAGUUGGUGAGGUAAAGGCGCACCAAGGCGACGAUACAUAGCCGGACCGAGAGGGUUGUCGGCCACACUGGGACUGAGACACGGCCCAAUCUCCUUGGGGAGGCAGCAGUAGAGAUUCUUCGGCCAUUGACGGAAGUCUGACCGAGCACCGCCGCGUGAGUUAAGAAGGUUUUCGGAUGGUAAAGCACUGUUGUUAGGGAGGCGGUAACUAAACAGAAAGGGGCGGCUAACUACGUGCCAGCAGCCGCGGUAAUAC
rnacentral:rRNA from 1 species